ensembl:lncRNA
GUGUCAGACUCAGUGACAGAGGCGUGGCCUCUGUGUGUCAGACUCAGUGAAGGAGGUGUGGCCUCUGUGUGUCAGUCUUAGUGACGUAGGUGUGUCCUGUGUGUGUGAGUCUCAGUAAAGGAGGCCUGGCCUCUGUGUGUGUGUGUGUCAGUCUCAGUGAAGGAGGUGUGUCCUGUGUGUGUGUCAGUCUUAGUGAAGUAGGCGUGUCCUGUGUGUGUCAAUCUCAGUAAAGGAGGUGUGGCCUCUGUGUGUGUGUGUGUGUCAGUCUUAGUGAUGUAGGCGUGUCCUGUGUGUGUCAAUCUCAGUGAAGGAGGUGUGGCCUCUGUGUGUGUGUGUCAGUCUUAAUGACGUAGGCGUGUCCUGUGUGUGUCAAUCUCAGUGAAGGAGGUGUGGCCUCUGUGUGUGUGUGUCAGUCUUAAUGACGUAGGCGUGUCCUGUGUGUGUCAAUCUCAGUGAAGGAGGUGUGGCCUCUGUGUGUGUGUCAGUCUUAGUGACGUAGGCGUGUCCUGUGUGUGUCAGUCUCAGUAAAGGAGGCGUGGCCUCUGUGUGUCAGACUCAGUAAAGGAGGCGUGGCCUCUGUGUGUGUGUCAGUCUCAGUGAAGGAGGUGUGUCCUGUGUGUGUCAGUCUCAGUGAAGGAGGCGUGUCCUGUGUGUGUCAAUCUCAGUAAAGGAGGCGUGGCCUGUAUGAAAUCAGUGUUGCUCUCUACUGAUGCUGUGCGUUUUAGCAGCUUUUCAGCGUCUGACUGUUGCGUAUGUUCUUGCUGAGUCAGGCGCGUGAGCUGGAAGCAAACUCGCUUUUUCAGCCAGUUUGCCAGAUAUGUUCAACUUUUUCACAAAGUCAGCAAAAGAAGAUGUGAACGAUCGCGUGCAGCAUUCAGAUUAGAUUGAAACUCCUGGCUCUCCUUGGCUUCGAGAGGCUGGAAUCACAUUUUGUCGCUUUCUGCAGUUAGGUGCAAAAACUCUCCUAAAUUCUCGAAUGUAUCGGGCGUCCCGAAAACCCAGGAACCAGUGAGAGUAAAACUACAUAACCUUCACUUUGUUUUUAUUAUUUACAGCGUAUGCUCCACAUGUGCACCC